AUUGAACGCUGGCGGAAUGCUUUACACAUGCAAGUCGAACGGCAGCAUAGAGAGCUUGCUCUCUGAUGGCGAGUGGCGAACGGGUGAGUAAUAUAUCGGAACGUGCCUAGUAAUGGGGAAUAACUAGCUGAAAGGUUAGCUAAUGCCGCAUACGACCUACGGGUGAAAGCAGGGGAUCUUCGGACCUUGCGUUAUUAGAGCGGCCGAUAUCUGAUUAGCUUGUUGGUGGGGUAAUGGCCUACCAAGGCGACGAUCAGUAGCUGGUCUGAGAGGACGAUCAGCCACACUGGAACUGAGACACGGUCCAGACUCCUACGGGAGGCAGCAGUGGGGAAUUUUGGACAAUGGGGGCAACCCUGAUCCAGCCAUUCCGCGUGAGUGAAGAAGGCCUUCGGGUUGUAAAGCUCUUUCGCAAGAGAAGAAAACUUGUUAUCUAAUAAAUAGUAAGCAUGACGGUAUCUUGACAAGAAGCACCGGCUAACUACGUGCCAGCAGCCGCGGUAAUACGUAGGGUGCAAGCGUUAAUCGGAAUUACUGGGCGUAAAGCGUGCGCAGGCAGUUUUAUAAGUCAGAUGUGAAAUCCCCGAGCUCAACUUGGGAACUGCGUUUGAAACUGUAAGACUAGAGUGUGUCAGAGGGGGGUAGAAUUCCAAGUGUAGCAGUGAAAUGCGUAGAGAUUUGGAGGAAUACCAAUGGCGAAGGCAGCCCCCUGGGAUAACACUGACGCUC
rnacentral:rRNA from 1 species